UACAGAGGGGGCAAGCGUUGUUCGGAAUUACUGGGCGUAAAGGGCGCGUAGGCGGCCUUCUAAGUCGAACGUGAAAUCCCCGGGCUCAACCCGGGAACUGCGUCCGAUACUGGAAGGCUUGAAUCCGGGAGAGGGAUGUGGAAUUCCAGGUGUAGCGGUGAAAUGCGUAGAUAUCCACAGGAACUCCGGUGGCGAAGGCGGCACGCUGGACCCCACCUGACGCUGAGGCGCGAAAGCCAGGGGAGCGAACGGG
rnacentral:rRNA from 1 species